rnacentral:rRNA from 1 species
UACGAAGGGUGCAAGCGUUACUCGGAAUUACUGGGCGUAAAGCGUGCGUAGGUGGUUUUUUAAGUCCGUUGUGAAAGCCCUGGGCUCAACCUGGGAAUGGCAGUGGAUACUGGAAAGCUAGAGUGCGGUAGAGGGUAGUGGAAUUCCCGGUGUAGCAGUGAAAUGCGUAGAGAUCGGGAGGAACACCAGUGGCGGAGGCGGCUACCUGGACCAGCACUGACACUGAGGCACGAAAGCGUGGGGAGCAAACAGG